GAAGCUGCGAAGAUGGCGGAGUAAGGCGUGCCGCUGCAAACUGGCCUCUGGGCCGGGGGCGAGCAGCCCCCGGGAGGCCGAGUGCAUCUGUUGGACCGUGCGAGGAGAAGAAAAAAAAUAUCGGCCAGAGGAGAGGAACUAACCGAACAUUCUUCCUCCCUACCUUAUAGAGGGGAGUGGUCAUCUACACUAAAGCAAAGUGUUAGGCGCGUCCGUGCGAAGAGACCACCAAACAGGCUUUGUGUUCCUUAUCACAGGAAGAAAAUUUUCCUUGACCUUUAGGUGCUUUUAUAUUCAUCUCAAAAACAAAAUUCUGAACUCAGGACUUGGCAAUCCUCCUGACUCAUCUAUGCUGUGACAAAUGGCAAAAUAUUUUGUUUUUUUUUUUUUUUGAGACAGUCUUGCUGUCUUAGCACUUGCUCUGUCACUGCACUCAGGCUGGAGUGCAGUGGUGCUAUCUCAGCUCACUGCAACCUCUGCCUCCCUAAUUCAAGCGAUUCUUUUGCCUCUGCCUCCCAAGUAGCCAGGAUUACAGGUGUGCGCCACCACGCCUGGUUAAUUUUUAUAUUUUUUUAGUAGAGACAGGAUUUCACCAUUUUGGCCAGGCUGGUCUCAAACUCUUGACUUAAUCCCAAAGUGCUGGGAUUACAGGCAUAUGCCACUGCGCCUGGCCAAGAUCUCAUUCUUUUUUAGGGCUGAGUAACAUAUGCCAUCAUAUAUAUGCACUGUAGUUUCUACAGUUUAUCCAUUCAUCCAUUGAUGAUGGACAGUUAGGUUUUUUCUGUAUCUUGGCUAUUGUGAAUAAUGUUCCACUGAACAUAGGAGUGCAGACAUCUUUAUGAAGUGAUUUCAUGUUUUUUGGUUAUAUGCCCAGAAGAGGGAGUGCUGGGUUAUGUGGUGGUUCCAUUUUUAAUUUCUUUAGAAACCUCCCAGCUGGGCGCGGUGGCUCAUGCCUGUAAUCCUGGCUACUCAGGAGGCUGUGGCAGGAGUAUCGCUUGAACCUGGGAGGCGGAGGUUGCCAUGAGCCAAGAUCGCGCCACUGCACUCCAGCCUGGGCUACAGAGUGAGAUUCCGUCUCAAAAAAAAAUUUCCAUACUGUUUUUCCAUAGUGGCUGUUCUGAUCUACACUCCCGCGAACAGUUAAUAAUAAUUCAUUCUUCUCUUAAACGAGGCAAAUUUUGGAAUAUAUUUAUUUAAUUUUUUUUUUGAGACAGAGUUUUGCUCUUGUCGCCCAGGCUGAAGUGCAAUGGCGCAAUCUCAGCUCACUGCAACCUCCGCCUCCCGGGUUCAAGCGAUUCUCCUGCCUCAGCCUCCUGAGUAGCUGACAUUAUAGGCACCUGCCACCACGCCCAGCUAAUUUUUGUAUUUUUAGUAGAGAUGGGGUUUCACCAUAUUGGGCAGGCUCGUCUUGAACUCCUGACCUCGUGAUCCGCCCACCUUAGCCUCCCAAAAUGCUGAGAUUGGAGGUGUGAGCCACCGCGCCUGGCCAGUGUGUCCUUUCUUAAUUGACAGUGACAUUAUAUCUGCAAAAUAGGCUUCAUACCUACUGUGUUAGUUUUAGUUUCCUAGGCCUGCUGUAACAAAGCACCACAAAUUGGGUAGCUUAGAAUAACAGAAAUUGUUUGAUAGUUAUAAAUAAAGGUCAGAUGUCUAAAACCAAAGUGUUGGCAGGGCCGUCCCUCUGAAGGCACUGAAAAAAAAAUUUCCAGUCCUUCUAAUUUCUUGUGGUUCCUUAACUUGUGGCAGCAUAACUCCAGUCUUCACAUGAAGUUCUUCCUGUGUGUGUAUCUGAGUCCUAAUAUAAGGAGACUAGUCAUAUUGGAUUGGGGUCCAUCCUGCUCUGUUAAUGACCUCAUCUUAGCUGCUGACAUCUGUAAUGACUCUAUUACCAAAUAAGGUCACAGUAUGAGGUAGUAGGGGCUAGGACUUUUAACAUACGAAUAUUGGGAGGACACAGUUCAACCCAUUAACACCUACUUAUACCUUGAUUAAUUAUAUGAAAACCAUUCAGUGUACAACUGCUUCAAGGAUUGAAACCUUGUAUGUAGUCCCAGCUACUCUGGAAACUGAGGUAGUAGGAUUGCUUGAGGCCUGAAGUUCAAGGCUGCAGUAUGCUGAUUGUGCCUGUGAAUAGCCACUGCACCCCAGCUUGGGCAGCAUCAGAAUUAUAGAGACAGAAAGUAGAAUGAUGGUUGCCAGGGGUUGCAGGAAGGGCAGCGAGAGGGAAUUACUGUGUAAUGUGUACAAGGUUUCAGUUUGGGAAGAAGAAAUGAGUCCUGGAGAUGGAUUACGGUGAUGGUUGCACAGCAGUAUGAAUGUACUUAAUACUACUGAAUUGUAUACUCGAAAGGGUUAAUAUGGUGAAUUUUAUGUGUAUUUUAUCACAAUAAAAACAUUGAAAAAUAAAA
rnacentral:lncRNA from 1 species